UCCUAGUUAACCUAGGCAGUCUCGUUAUAGGGCCCAGCUUCACCUGUUGGCAAAUAACGACAAGGGUUGCGCUCGUUGCGGGACUUAACCCAACACCUCACGGCACGAGCUGACGACAGCCAUGCAGCACCUGUGCAAUUGUCUCUUGCGAGAAAGCUACAUUUCUGUAGCGGUCAACUGCAUGUCAAGCCCAGGUAAGGUUCUUCGCGUUGCAUCGAAUUAAACCACAUGCUCCACUGCUUGUGCGGGUCCCCGUCAAUUCUUUUGAGUUUUACCCUUGCGAGCGUACUCCCCAGGCGGUAUACUUAUCGCGUUAGCUACGGCACAGACAGGGUUGAGCCUAUCUACGCCAAGUAUACAUAGUUUACGGCAAGGACUAC
rnacentral:misc_RNA from 1 species